rnacentral:rRNA from 1 species
UACGAAGGGGGCUAGCGUUGUUCGGAAUUACUGGGCGUAAAGCGUGCGCAGGCGGCUUCUCAAGUCAGGGGGGAAAGCCCAGAGCUCAACUCUGGAAUUGCCUUUGAGACUGAGUGGCUUGAGUACGGGAGAGGUGAGUGGAAUUCCCAGUGUAGAGGUGAAAUUCGUAGAUAUUGGGAAGAACCCCGGUGGCGAAGGCGGCUCACUGGCCCGUAACUGACGCUCAUGCACGACAGCGUGGGGAACAAACAGG